rnacentral:rRNA from 1 species
GAUGAACGCUAGCAAUAGGCUUAACACAUGCAAGUCGAGGGGAAACGAUAGAGAAAGCUUGCUUUUUCUAGGCGUCGACCGGCGCACGGGUGAGUAACGCGUAUCCAACCUGCCCACCUCUUGGGGAUAACCUUGCGAAAGUAAGACUAAUACCCAAUGAUAUCUCUAGAAGACAUCUGAAAGAGAUUAAAGAUUUAUCGGUGAUGGAUGGGGAUGCGUCUGAUUAGCUUGUUGGCGGGGUAACGGCCCACCAAGGCGACGAUCAGUAGGGGUUCUGAGAGGAAGGUCCCCCACAUUGGAACUGAGACACGGUCCAAACUCCUACGGGAGGCAGCAGUGAGGAAUAUUGGUCAAUGGGCGAGAGCCUGAACCAGCCAAGUAGCGUGCAGGAUGACGGCCCUAUGGGUUGUAAACUGCUUUUAUAAGGGAAUAAAGUGAGUCUCGUGAGACUUUUUGCAUGUACCUUAUGAAUAAGGACCGGCUAAUUCCGUGCCAGCAGCCGCGGUAA